rnacentral:rRNA from 1 species
GACGGAGGGCGCAAGCGUUGUCCGGAAUUAUUGGGCGUAAAGCGCGCGCAGGCGGCCCUUUAAGUCUACCCGUGAAAUGCCGGAGCUCAACUCCGUGCACGCCGGGGGAUACUGGGGGGCUGGAGACAUGUAGAGGCAAGCGGAAUUCCGGGUGUAGCGGUGGAAUGCGUAGAUAUCCGGAAGAACACCUGAGGCGAAGGCGGCUUGCUGGGCAUGAUCUGACGCUGAGGCGCGAAAGCCAGGGGAGCGAACGGG